rnacentral:rRNA from 1 species
AUUGAACGCUGGCGGCAGGCCUAACACAUGCAAGUCGAGCGGAUGAGUGGAGCUUGCUCCAUGAUUCAGCGGCGGACGGGUGAGUAAUGCCUAGGAAUCUGCCUGGUAGUGGGGGACAACGUUUCGAAAGGAACGCUAAUACCGCAUACGUCCUACGGGACAAAGUGGGGGCUCUUCGGACCUCACGCUAUCAGAUGAGCCUAGUUCGGAUUAGCUAGUUGGUGAGGUAAAGGCUCACCAAGGCGACGAUCCGUAACUGGUCUGAGAGGAUGAUCAGUCACACGGGAGAUGAGACACGGUCCAGACGCCUACGGAAGGCAGCAUUGGGGAAUAUCGGACAAUGGGCUAAAGCCUGAGCCAGCCAUGCCGCGUGUGUGAAGUAGUUCUUCGGAUUGCAAAGCACUUUAAGUUGGGAGGAAGGGCAGUAAAUUAAUAGCUUGCUGUUUUGACGUUACCAACAGAAUAAGCACCGGCUAACUUCGUGCCAGCCGCCGAGGUAACAC